CUCCAGAGGUCCCUUCCAACCCUGACAAUCCGUGAUUGUGUGGGGCAGUGCUGGAGAAAGGGGCACACACACCCCACGUGCCCCUCGUGCCCCCUGGGGCUGCGAGGGCAGGAUGGACACGGCCAACCCCCAGUGCCCGCCCUGGAGACAGCAAAGGUGUGACUGAGGGGGAAAGCAGUGGGGAAAAAUUACAGAAAUCAGUGCUAAAUGGGACAAAAAUAGAGUGAGGUGUGCACAGACCCUCCAUGAGAGGCAGGAGGUGAGGCCAGGACAUCCUGCCUGCUCCCAGGCUGGGACAGCACAUCCCGCAAAGCAGCCACACCCCUUGAUGGACAUCUCACAGUAAUGAGGACAGGACAGUUCAUUUCAAGUGCUCUGGUAAUAACAUUUUGGACAAAAUGGUCCCCCCAAGCAUUUUUGAAACACCAUUAGGACUGUGACUGUGUAACUGGGCAACUUGCUGAGGCAGAUACUGUCAAACAUUGGAAGGCCAAAAAACACGGAGUCUCUCAGCCUGGAAAGCCUUUCACUGUUGUACUUUGUGUAACCUGGAGCUUAAUUAGAGAAGUCACUGGAAAAUGACAACUAGAAAAACCUACAAACCAACAGUAAAAAAGAUGCAAGUCAGUGUUGACAACAGAAUACAAAAGCUGUUUUACUUCUCUCAAGAUGCAGCAUGUGGAAAAUGUGUCAGUAAUCCUGCACACUGGGUAAGCCUUGCACACACGUGUUGUGCUUCUGCAAGGUUUUAAAGGAGUAACCAUCAGAACAUGGUUCUGAGUGGUUUUUAAUUAUUAUUUUGUAUUUUUUUGUAUUUUCUUUCUUCAUGGUACAAAACAUUUGAGGGCAAUGCCAGAGGUUGGAUGAUAUUAAGCUAGACGUUUUUUGGGGGGGAUGAGCAAAGAGACAUCUCUCUUACACGUGCAUGGAGAGGAGGAGUAAUGCUGUAAGGUAUGUUGGUAUCUUAACUCUGUGAGGAAUUUGGAUGUGUUGCACUAAUUCUCGUGGCUUUUCCAACAGCUGCAGUUUGCAUUUACUGCAUCUCAUUUGAAAUCCUAAGUUGGAAGCCAAGUUCCAUGGGAAGGGGAAGGUUUAUGCAAUGAAGCAAGUCAUGCAACACUCAGAAACAGUUCCAUUUGAUGCAAGAUAUAGUUCUUGGGCUGUUGAGAAUAGAUGGGAGCUCUCACAGCCAUUCACUGCCCUUCUACAGCUAGGAAAAAUCUUGUGGAAUGUGAUAACUACGGGAGAAGCUGCCUUGUGGGCUGGGACACCUGUCACUGCAGACCUGUAACCUGUGAGCUACUUCUACAGGAUUAAAACAUAAUCUGAAACUGGCCCUGGCAAUCAGCAAGAGGGAGUAACAGAAUGUGGGCGUUAGUCAUGUUCUCUCUGCUGUUCAGAGGAGCAGGAAAACUGCACCAGCUGGGGCUCUUCCCAUCUUUGGCUUUGGGUGCAGUGAACUACAGCAGCCCAGCAGGAAGAAACACAUCCCUCAGCAGCACAGGAACUCAAAUGCUAAGUCCCAUCCUUUUAGGAAAGCAGCCAGGGCUAAGCAGAUUUGCCUUCUGGCCAGGGGCUUGAAGGUCAACAUUUCCCCCUCUGUUUUAGGGGAGUAUUGAGUGUAAUUUACCUUUAGUCACCUCAAUACCUGUUAUUCCAGCAUUUCCCAGAAGCAAGUCUCAUAAACCCAGUUUGUGAGGCUGCAUCAUUCCCAGACAGGUCAGAUUUCUUAGCUUUCUUCCAAGUACUUCAUCACAUGAAGGACUCGAGUUGAACGUGCAAAGGACUGUCCUUGCCCCUUCACAAUUGGUUGCUCAGGGAUAGAAUUUUUUUGUAUAAAAGAUGAAAAUUAAUGCACUUUAAUUCUUUACUUUUGCUCUAUAAAAUGUUUCUAAACACAACGUUUACCUUAAGUUUCCACUUUCAGAAGUUACAAAUGCACUCUUUACAAAGCAAUAGCCUUAGGAAGUGAACAAGUAGUUACAGCAGCAAACCAGUGCCUGAGCUAAAAAUAAAACCAGAAGCAGUCCCUUAGGGUAUCUGAAUAAUUUCUCUUUUUUACUUAUGUAGGGAAACAUUUAAAAAUGAUGGAGGGCAGGGUAACAUAAACUCAAGAGGAGGAACAGCAACAGUGGUUCUUUAAAAGGUUUUAGUAUUUUUAAGUUCUUUUCUCACAUUUCAAGGGAUCCUAAGCAUUGAUGUGAGUUCAUCCAGGUUUCAGAAGACUCCCAGAAGUUUAAACAAGUGCACUGGGAAGGUUUGUGUUUGUAAACAUUUAUUCUCUUGAACUGAAAAAGGCUUGCAUCAGCACACAUUGUACAGACUUGCAAAUUACACAGAUUGAAAAAAGGUUUGUUUCAUUUAUGUGCAAUGAAUCUUUAAUGUCCAGUGAGCAUCUGCAAAUGAUGAAAACUUAAACCAUUAAAAAGGUUUCCAGCACUUAUCAAACACAAUUAUCUUAGCGUGAAAAGGAAGAGAGAGAGAGCCAUACUGGUGGGGACACAAUUAAAGUGCAAACAUUUUGUCACUUGUGAAGAUACAUUUUAGUUUUCUUCACACUUUUGCUAAAAAGAAAUAUUAAAAUGUGAUUCAGUGAACAUUCUUUGUAACCCAUUCAUAUUCCCCUUUAAAUAAUUAUUAAACUUGCUGGAUCAGAAGCAAAUCCUUCGAGGGUACAACCCUGUAAUUUCUUUUGACAUUGUUUGAGUGAAUUGCAAAGGAAAAUGACCACCUAAGGAGUUAGUUACUAAAAUGAUUUUUUUUUUCCUUAAAAAAAA